ACAGUGUUUUCACCCAUAAAGUAGAAAGCACUACUAAUCUUCAAUACACAGUGUAGUGUUUCCUACUUUAUGGAUGAGUGUACUGU
ensembl:miRNA MIR142 microRNA 142